GCCCAGGGUGCUGGGUGUGACCCAGUGUAGGUCAGCCCCGCACUUCGGGGUCCCCGCGCCUCUACCCAACUCCUCGCCCGAGCCCAAGGAGACGAUCGCUUGUGUCGGGGCUGCGUGGGCGGCGAGGGCGCAGCGUGGGCCCCGACUGCACCUCUGUCCGGGCAGGAGCAGGGCGGACCCGACCGCCCCGGUCCCGAGCUACGAGCAUCUCCGCGCUUGUCCGUGACCUCGUGGUUUCUGCACCAAGCAACGCACACGCGAAAAGCCGGCGGGGAAGCACACGCGUCCCUGGCUCAAGCCCGAGUUCACUGCUUGCCGUGUUCCCGCAGCUGCGGAAAUUUGCCGAAGCAUGGAAAGUCAGACUAGUUUUAAUUUUCCUCAAGAAAUCCAGACGGCUGGUGCGUUACUAUCAACGGUUUGAAAUGUGGGUCGUUCUGGUCAUUUCAUGGCACUCUGGAGGUGGAUUGUGA
rnacentral:lncRNA from 1 species